AAAAGUGAAAGACGGUCUUGCUGUCACUUAUAGAUGGAUCCGCGCUGCAUUAGCUAGUUGGUAAGGUAACGGCUUACCAAGGCAACGAUGCAUAGCCGACCUGAGAGGGUGAUCGGCCACACUGGAACUGAGACACGGUCCAGACUCCUACGGGAGGCAGCAGUAGGGAAUCUUCCGCAAUGGGCGAAAGCCUGACGGAGCAACGCCGCGUGAGUGAUGAAGGUCUUCGGAUCGUAAAACUCUGUUAUUAGGGAAGAACAUAUGUGUAAGUAACUGUGCACAUCUUGACGGUACCUAAUCAGAAAGCCACGGCUAACUACGUGCCAGCAGCCGCGGUAAUACGUAGGUGGCAAGCGUUAUCCGGAAUUAUUGGGCGUAAAGCGCGCGUAGGCGGUUUUUUAAGUCUGAUGUGAAAGCCCACGGCUCAACCGUGGAGGGUCAUUGGAAACUGGAAAACUUGAGUGCAGAAGAGGAAAGUGGAAUUCCAUGUGUAGCGGUGAAAUGCGCAGAGAUAUGGAGGAACACCAGUGGCGAAGGCGACUUUCUGGUCUGUAACUGACGCUGAUGUGCGAAAGCGUGGGGAUCAAACAGGAUUAGAUACCCUGGUAGUCCACGCCGUAAACGAUGAGUGCUAAGUGUUAGGGGGUU
rnacentral:rRNA from 1 species